AUCCGUCUGACAAGUCCUAGAUAGAACGAGACGCGCGUCUUGGAU
rfam:Schistosoma margrebowiei strain Zambia genome assembly, scaffold: SMRZ_contig0000159